UUUUUGUAUUUCUGCAGUAUCUGUUGUGAUAUCUCCUUUUUCAUUUCUGAUUUUCUUUAUUUGGGUUUUUUUCUUUCCUCUUCUUGAUGAGUCUGACCAGAAGUUUGUCAAUUUUGUUUACCUUUUCAAAGAACCAGCUCUUGGAUUUAUUAAUUUCUUCAAUUGUUCUUUUAAUCUCUAUUUUAUUGAUUUCCUCUUUGAUCUUUAUGAUUUCCUACUUUCUGAUGACUUUAGGUUUUGUUUGUACUUCUUUUUCUAAUUCAUUUAGGUGUUUCAUUAAGUUGUUGAUUUGAGAUUUUUCUUCUUUUUUGAGGAAGGCCUGUAUUGCUCUGAAUUUCCCUCUGAGCACUGCUUUUGUGGCAUCCCAUGGAUGUUGUGUGGAUGUGUCUUCAUUAUCAUUUGUCUUGAGGUAUUUUUUAAUUUCCUUCUUGAUUUUCUCACUGACCCUUUGUUUUUUUAGUAGCGUGUUGUUUAGUCUCCAUGUAGUAAGUUUUUUUCUCAUUUCUUUUCCUGUGGUUGAUUUCUAGUUUCAUGCCAUUGUGGUCAGAGAAGAUACUUGAAAUAAUUUCUAUACUCUUAAAUUUGUUGAGGUUAGCUUUGUGUCCCAAUAUGUGGUCAAUUCUUGAGAAUGUUCCAUGUGCACUUGAGAAGAAUGUGUAUUCUGAUUUUUUUGGAUGUAUUGUCCUGCAAAUGUCAAUUAUGUCUAACUUUUCUAUUGUGUCCUUUAGGAUCUCUGUUGCCUAAUUGAUUUUCUGUCUAGAGGAUCUCUCCAUUGUCGUGAGUGGGGUGUUAAAGUCUCCUACUAUGAUUGUAUUCCCAUCAAUUUCUCCUUUUGUGUCUGUUAGUAUUUGUUGUAGGAAUCUGGGUGCUCCUAUACUAGGGGCAUAUAUAUUGACGAUUGUAAUAUCCUCUUCUUGAAUGGAUCCUUUAACAUUAAAUAGUGUCCUUCUUCGUCUUUCUUUAUGGCCUUCAUUUUAAAGUAUAUUUUUUCUGAUAUGAGUAUUGCAAGUCCUGCUUUCCUGUCUUGUCCAUUGGCAUGAAAUAUAUUUCCCAUCCCCUCACUUUCAAUCUGUAUAUGUCCAUUGUCCUAAGGUAAAUUUCUUACAGAUUGUAGGUUUUUGCUUUUUUAUCCAAUCUGCCACUCUGUGUCUUUUGAUUGGAGCAUUCAGUCUAUUGAUAUUUAAGGUAAAUAUUGAUAGAAAUGUAUAUAUUGCCAUUUUAAACCUUGUUUUCCAGUUGAUACUAUAUUUCUCCUAUCUUCCUUUCUUUUUUUUGGUUGGAUUACUUCCAUUUAUUUUAUGCUUGAGUACUUUUCAUUUUGUUUUUUGUGAAUGUAAUGUUUGGUUUUGAUUUGUGGUUGCCCUGUUUUUAAGUAUGUUAACACCUUCCUGUAUCUGCUUGCUUUAGCCUGAUAGUCAUAUAGGCUCAAAC
rnacentral:lncRNA from 1 species